UACGUAGGGGGCAAGCGUUGUCCGGAUUUAUUGGGCGUAAAGAGCGUGUAGGCGGCCUGAAAGGUCAGCUGUGAAAACUCGAGGCUCAACCUCGAGACGUCGGUUGAAACCAUCUGGCUAGAGUCCGGAAGAGGAGAGUGGAAUUCCCGGUGUAGCGGUGAAAUGCGCAGAUAUCGGGAAGAACACCCGUGGCGAAGGCGGCUCUCUGGGACGGUACUGACGCUGAGACGCGAAAAGCGUGGGGAGCGAACAGG
rnacentral:rRNA from 1 species